AUUGGACGCUGGCGGCAGGCCUAACACAUGCAAGUCGAGCGGUAGCACAAGGGAGCUUGCUCCCUGGGUGACGAGCGGCGGACGGGUGAGUAAUGUCUGGGAAACUGCCUGAUGGAGGGGGAUAACUACUGGAAACGGUAGCUAAUACCGCAUAACGUCUUCGGACCAAAGAGGGGGACCUUCGGGCCUCUUGCCAUCGGAUGUGCCCAGAUGGGAUUAGCUAGUAGGUGAGGUAAAGGCUCACCUAGGCGACGAUCCCUAGCUGGUCUGAGAGGAUGACCAGCCACACUGGAACUGAGACACGGUCCAGACUCCUACGGGAGGCAGCAGUGGGGAAUAUUGCACAAUGGGCGCAAGCCUGAUGCAGCCAUGCCGCGUGUGUGAAGAAGGCCUUCGGGUUGUAAAGCACUUUCAGCGGGGAGGAAGGCGACAAGGUUAAUAACCUUGUCGAUUGACGUUACCCGCAGAAGGAGCACCGGCUAACUCCGUGCCAGCCGCCGCGGUAAGAC
rnacentral:rRNA from 1 species